rnacentral:lncRNA from 1 species
CGUCUUUUCCGCCUGCUGUUCCUGAGUUGUAUCCUUUUAUUAUAAAUCUGCAACCUAGUAGUAAACUGUUUUCCUGAGCUCCAUGAACUGCUCUAGCAAAUCACCAAAUCUGAACAGGGGCUCAGGGGAACCUCUGAUUUAUAACUAGUGGUUCAGAACCACAGGUGGCAACCUGGACUUGUGACUGGCGUCUGAAGGCAGUGGGCAUAGUGUUGUGGGACUGCCUGAGCCCUUAACUUGUGGAAUCUGAUGCUAACCUCAGGAAGGGGAAAGAGGAGGGUAGAAAAGAAUAAGGAAGAAGAAAAUACAGUGGAGAUUCCUGGCUAAAACUGGUUGG